UACGAAGGGUGCAAGCGUUACUCGGAAUUACUGGGCGUAAAGCGUGCGUAGGUGGUUUGUUAAGUCUGCUGUGAAAGCCCGGGGCUCAACCCCGGGAGGCGGGUGGAUACUGUCUAGCUCGAGUCCGGAAGAGGAGUGUGGAAUUCCUGGUGUAGCGGUGAAAUGCGCAGAUAUCAGGAGGAACACCAAUGGCGAAGGCAGCACUCUGGGACGUGACUGACGCUGAGGCGCGAAAGCUAGGGGAGCAAACAGG
rnacentral:rRNA from 1 species